rnacentral:rRNA from 1 species
CCUACGGGAGGCAGCAGUGAGGAAUAUUGGUCAAUGGACGAGAGUCUGAACCAGCCAAGUAGCGUGAAGGAUGACUGCCCGAUGGGUGGUAAACUUCUGUUAUAAAGGAAUAAAACGAGGCACGUGUGCCUUUUUGCAUGUACUUUAUGAAUAAGGAUCGGCUAACUCCGUGCCAGCAGCCGCGGUAAUACGGAGGAUCCGAGCGUUAUCCGGAUUUAUUGGGUUUAAAGGGAGCGUAGAUGGGUUGUUAAGUCAGUUGUGAAAGUUUGCGGCUCAACCUUAAAAUUGCACUUGAUACUGGCAGUCUUGAGUACAGUUGAGGUAGGCGGAAUUCGUGGUGUAGCGGUGAAAUGCUUAGAUAUCACGAAGAACCCCGAUUGCGAAGGCAGCUUACUAAACUGUGACUGACAUUGAUGCUCGAAAGUGUGGGUAUCAAACAGGAUUAGAUACCCUGGUAGUC